CUUGAACCAACAACCAGCUUGAACAUCAUAGUCUAAGAAGAUGUGGGAUGUCCCCUCUGCUCAUUGGUGACUAUGGCUGCCUUACCAUAACCAUGUGCUCACCAACCUUUCUCCCGAGGGAGCCCCCAGUCUUCAGAGAGCACUCAUUGGCUGCAUUGCUUCUGGACUUAGACAGGCCCUGUGGACAAAGGUGAUAUGGACAACACACACGCUCAAGGCACAGGAUUCCACCGCCUCCCUUUCCUCCAGACUCCCAUCAUGCUUUUCAGACUCCACCUCUGGAUCCAAGACUCCAGCCAACACCAACCCCAACCGGUCCCCAGCAUCCAGACAAACCUUGACAUUAGAGGGAUCGAACAGGCCCUCUGGGAUGCGAAGCCGCUCCGCGCCAUAGUCCGUGUUGUAGCCAUUGGGCAUCUCAUAAUGCACAGUAGGCAUUUGUGCAGCUACCCUGCCCGAGAAAGGAACAAGACUCUGUGUGGCACGGUGCCCGGCGGGGUGCUCUAGAGGUUACCAUGAACCCCACUUCUGUGCCCCAUGUUUGUUUUUUGAAAUGUGGUGGGAGGGUUCUCAUGUAUCCCAAUCAUGCCUCCAAUUCAAUAAGUAGCAGAAG